rnacentral:misc_RNA from 1 species
GAUGAAGAACGCAGCAAAAUGCGAUACUUGGUGUGAAUUGCAGAAUCCCGUGAACCAUCGAGUUUUUGAACGCAAGUUGCGCCCGAAGCCUUUUGGCCGAGGGCACGUCUGCCUGGGCGUCACGCAUCGCGUCGCCCCCCACAAUUCUCCGCAAAGGGAACCUGUGUUUUGGGGGCGGAUAUUGGUCUCCCGUGCUCAUGGCGUGGUUGGCCGAAAUAGGAGUCCCUUCGACGGACGCACGAGCUAGUGGUGGUCGUGAAAACCCUCGUCUUUUGUUUCGUGCCGUCAGUCGCAAGGGAAACUCUUGGAAAACCCCAACGUGUCGUCUCUUGACGACGCUUUGACCGCGACCCCAGGUCAGGCGGGACUACCCGCUGAGUUUAAGCAUAUCAAUAAGCGGAGGA